ACCUGUCGGAGCCCUCGGUCAGCACCUCCACAAUAUACCCUUCACAAAAGCCAAACUACACAUGUCGAUAUGCGGUUGGUCUAAUGUGGAACAUUACUCCUACGUGGACAAUGGAGGUUUGCUUUCGGACGUGGUGUAAAUGGGAUGAGCGGCCUAUUUUUUAUUUUUAUUUUUUUAACAAUGUUUUUCCAGGUUGUUACUUGAGCUUCAAAUCGACUGGCUAUGGCGGGACGCUGCUGUUGAAUGCAAACCCUUCUCUCUAUACAUUGUUGUGCUUUUAGGUACUGGAGUGGUAUGCAAUAAAUGUCCAGUGACUUCUGCACGUUCAAGGGGUGAAGGAUUCGGUGCAGCUUCUCAUCAUGUUACAGAGCUGAACUGAUGACAAGAAAAUUUAAACAUUGGUAUUUUUUUUUUCUCUUACUCGCACGUGGUUGCAAAGACGGCAUAUGAUGGAAGAUACCGUAGAAAUCAUCUCUGUUGAAUCUGAUGGAAACUGAGGCCAGAUUUUGUGUAGAAGCAUAUUUUAUAAGUUAGGAGUUCGUUCAAUGAAAAUUAUCAUGAUUGGAGUAAUAUUGUGGCGGAUGAAGCUACAUUGUUCUCCAUUUUGAGUGGGAGCAAUUUUAUGAACUUAGGCACGUCUCGAGAUUCGCACCUAAUCGAUCUCUUAAAUGGCUGUGUGAUCUACAACUUCAUUUUUUUAGGUCUCUUGGUAGACUUAGUCGAGCUAACAUAAUGCAAACUCUGCGGCACUAAUCAAUCGAUACUCUUUUUCUAUGGAA